CCUGCCAUAAAUAAAACCACCUAAGGAAGUGUAGGUAGUGUGCUACAUGAGGGGCAAGUUUUUCGCUAACAUCACAAGGGUCUCUGGCCCAAUGAGUGGAGUUUGAUAGUAAUACUUGCUACAAAC
rnacentral:snoRNA from 1 species